rnacentral:misc_RNA from 1 species
GAAAUGCGAUAACUAAUGUGAAUUGCAGAAUUCAGUGAAUCAUCGAGUCUUUGAACGCACAUUGCGCCCCCUGGUAUUCCGGGGGGCAUGCCUGUCCGAGCGUCAUUGCUGCCCUCAAGCCCGGCUUGUGUGUUGGGUCGCCGUCCCCCUCUCCGGGGGGACGGGCCCGAAAGGCAGCGGCGGCACCGCGUCCGAUCCUCGAGCGUAUGGGGCUUUGUCACAUGCUCUGUAUGAUUGGCCGGCGCCUGCCAACGUUUUCCAACCAUUUUUUCCAGGUUGACCUCGGAUCAGGUAGGGAUACCCGCUGAACUUAAGC